ACAUAUAUAUAUAUGUAUAUAUUUAUAUAUAGAUAUAGAUACAUAUCUAUGCAUGUAUACAUACAUAUGUAUGCUUGUAUAGAUACAUAUCUAUGUAUACAUAUACUUCUGUAUCUAUACAUAUAUAUGUAUGUAUAUAUGGAUACACACAGAUAUGUGUGUGUGUGUGUCUAUAUAUAUAUAUAUAUCAUAGUUACGAGAUUCAUGGUAUUAGAGUCCAGGAGGGAGAAGUAAUAUAGGAUAGAUUUUGGUUUAGAUACUCAGUCUUGGUCAGAGCAGCAAAAUUUUGGUAAGAAUCUUUAGCUUGGUCUAAAGAGUACAGUUGUUAUAUAAUCGAUAAAACCUAAGUUUGGUCUGAGGAGCAUAUGGGUUGUAUAACUAGUGGUGGCUAUAUGGUUGGACGUACUUUCGGGUGUUGGGUUGCUUCAAGGAUUUGUCAAGCUGGUCUAAGGUUCGGGAGAGCCGCUAACAGGCAGAAAAUUCUCUCUCCGUUAAGAAUCUUUACAACGUCGUCCUUGGUAUGGUAACUAUUUCAGAUCCUCCUGUGUUAAGUCUACUAAGAUAAGUACUAUCUCGGAUCAUGCUGUAUUAAGUCUUCUAAGAAAAGGAUCUCUUAUCAAAAUUAUCUGUUGUUAAGUCUUCUAAGAUGAGUUUCUUGUCAAGAUUUUUUUCUACUAGUUCUUCAUCUCAAGAUGAAGGUGCUGGGACAGACAAGGCUCUGAUCGAGCUUUCUGACAAACAGUUGGAUAAAUGGAUAAUCUCAAAAAUUGCUAAAAGUUCUCUUUACAAAUCUAUAAAUUGGUUACUACCAAACAAUAGGAUCAAAAUAAUAGAAUUUACGGUUCUAAUAAAAAAAGAACAUGAAUUAAUCUCAAUCCUAACAGUAGAAUUUGUUAAAUCUGUUCAAAAAUCUAAAUUUAAGUUCAUUCAUAUAGGGUUAGUCCAAGUAGUGGUAAAAUCAUUGAUUAGGAAAAAAAAUAACAAUGCUAUUCUUUUAUGUCUAAAAGAUGGUAGAUUCCUUGAUUGUCCAGAUGCUUUUUUAGGUAUGGUUGAAUCUAGUUUAUUUGAUGGUCCAAUCUAUUUUAAUUGUAAUGCAGAUCUUACUAUCAAAAUCAAAGCCAAAAAUAUUCUUAGAAGUUUAGAAUUUGAAGUAAAAUUAGACAGAUUUAAUAUGUUAUCUGGAUUAUGCCCAGCUGCAGUCAUGAUUAGGAUAUACUAUAAAAUCUUAAAUACCUUAGAACUUAUAGGAGUUGUUAACAAAAGAACCUUAGGAUCAACAGAUUAUUUUCAAAUAGAUCCAAGUAAAGGAAAUGUGUUUGUCCCAAGAACUUUAGUCUGCGAUCAAAUCAAGUUACCUGAUGACUCGUUAUGAAGAAAAUUAGUACCAGCCAUCAGAAAAGAACAAAGCAAAUUAGAUACAAUCGUUAUAAAUUCUAAAGGAGAUGUCUCCAUCAGAUUUCAAAGAGGAAUCCAAAGAAGUUUAGGUUUUAGGUUAGAACCUACAUAAAUUCAAAUAAAUCCAUCAAGACAUAGUUAUGCUAGCUUCUUACCCCCAAAAUUAAGUACCAUAAACUUGGAGCCAAAAAUUUUCCAAUCUAGAUAUGAAGAACUUCAAUCUCUACCUGUUCCUUCUAUCUAUUUUCAAAAAUUGAUAGAAAGGAUUAAGAGCUAUAUGUAAUUAGUUUUGAAUUUAAAAUAGACAAACUAACUUUAAAAAAAAAAUACUUAGAAGAAAAUUUUAAAAAAUGAAAUAAACAUUGAAUAACUCACUCUAAAGAACAAAUAAAUACAUUACAAAUUGAGUAUUAUACCUUCUUAAAAAUGAUUAGGACACAGAUAUCAUUUUUCAAAUGGUAUGAACUUAUAAAAGAAGAUUCAAAAGAUGUUAAUAUGAUUCCAAGAAAUGGUAAAGAAAUCAGGAGUAUCAAAAUUUCAGAAUCAUCUAACGCAAGGAUUAUAGUUUCUUGGCAAGAUAGGAAAGGAAGAAUCAUUGAAAAAAUUUAUCCUCUUCUUCAAAAAAUUAGAAUAUCUAUCAAAGAAACUCAAAUAACAGUCUCUCCAUUUAAAAUUAAGACAGACCCUCUAGAAAGUCCAAAUGGUAGAGACAUAAAAAAUAUCAUAGAACAAAAUAAUUUUACAAAUCAAAACCUUAAAACUAUAGGUGACCAACUAAUUAGAGUAGAAGAAUAUGAUUAAAAAAAAAUUGAAAUUCAAAAUAAAGUUUCUUUAUCUAUUUUUAAAUCUUUUAAAAUAGAUAAAAAAUAAUUAAAAAAAUUAAAUACUGACAUUAUGGAAGAAAUAAAUAAAAGACUUCAAGCUGUAGAAAGCAUUCAAAGAGUAGAAGAUACCCCAGAACAGUCCAUUAGGCUUAGGACAGUAGCCACUUUAACCCAACAUGUUUCAGAAUCAUCAGAUACUGAAAUUCUGAGUGAAGAAGAACAUCAAAUGAAUAAAAUUACUUGUUGGAAUGAUUACUCUAGAAAGACAUACUAUCCAAGAUCUAUCCUUUUAGACUUUGUCUUAGAAAAAAGAGGUCAAAUAACUCAAAAUCAAUAUUCGGCUAAUACCAUUUAUGAAUGAAAUAUAUAGAUGGAAUAAUCGAAUAUGGCAUUCAAAAUACAUUUCAAGAGAUGAUCAUGGUAUCAAAUGUCUACAAAAUCAAAAAUAUAUCGGACCAUGCCAUUAUUCAAAAUCUUGUAGCAGGUUUCACUGGGCAGUUAAAAGGUUGGUGGGAUCAUUACUUAAAUGAUAUUGAUAGAGAACAAAUCCUCACUGUUGUUAAGGAAAACUACAAAUGGAGUAGUCCUCAAAGAUGAGGAAGGAACGGAUAUAUAAGAUGCCGUUCCAAUCUUUUUCUUUGCAAUAGCCAAACAUUUCUUAGAUGAUCCAUCAAAACUAAGAGAUAGGACAACAGAGAUCUUAUCAAAUUUAAGAUGUAAAAAAUUACAAGAUUUCAGAUGAUAUAAAGAUAUUUUCUUAACAAAAGUGAUGAUCAUUGUAACCAGUCCUUUUGAAAAGAAAAAUUUAUUACAGAAUUUUCCUUAGUAUUUUCUGAAAAAAUUAGGACUAAAUUUAGAAAUCAAAAUAAUUGUAAAAUUUUAUAUGAUAAAUUAAUAUAUGGAGAUUUUGUUAAUAUUAUAAAUGAAGAAGGAUUGUUACUUUGUAAUGACUUAAAACUUAAACAGGAACUUAAAAAAGAACAGCUAAAGUCCAAAAAAGAGUUUGAAAAUUUUUGUGAACAAUUUGGUCUUCGACCAUUCAAAGUCUAGAAAUCUAAAAAAUCUAAAAAAUUUUGUAAGAAUUGCUAUAAAGAAAAAAUCCAAUCCUUUAGGAAAAAAUCUAAACCUCCAUUAAGUGACAAAAGGAUUAAAUCAUCUUAAUUUAAGCCUAGAAGAACUAGCUGGUCCAAAAUAAAAGCAUCACCAUCCAUUUGUUACAAAUGUGGUAAGGUAGGAUAUUUUAAUUGAAAUUAUAAAGUAAAAAAAUAUUAAUAAUUUAGAAAUAGAUGAAUCAAAUCUUUUAAAAUCAAUAAAAAUUCAACUAAAGAUCUUAUUUUUAGAAUCAGAUUCAGAAUCUGAGAAUUCUCAGAAUCUUGAAGAUGAUAUUGAAUCAUCCUCAGUAUUUAAAGAUAAGAAAGAAAUCUGUAUAAUUACAAAAGAAUAAAAUCUAUUGUUAGAUUUUAUUGAAAAAAUAAAAAAUUUUGAACAAAAAAAAGAGUAUCUAUCUAAACUCAAAGAAACUAUAUUUGAAGGAACUAAUACAAAAGAAAUAAAAAUAAUUUAUAACUUAAGCAAUAGUUUAAAAAGAUUUGAAUUGCAAGAAAAGAAAAAUUUAACCAUUCAAGAUCUUGAAAUAGAAAGAAAUUUUUUAAAAAUAGAAAUCGAACAAGUAAAGGAACAAAUUGAAUUUUUAAAGGAUAAAAAAUCUAUAGACAGUGAUCAUGAACUUAUAGAUAUCUUAAAUCAAAUAAGUCUACAAAAAUGGUGUGUCAAAAUAAUUCUAAUCAUAAAAGAUGAAUUCAAACUUAAUAUAAUAGUAUUAAUAGACUCUAAAGCUGAUUUAAAUUGUAUCCAUGGAGAAUUAAUAUCAAUAAAAUAUUUUGAGAAGAUAAAUGAAAAAUCUAAGAACUGUUGGUGAUUUAAAAUUUAAAAUUAAAUAUCAAUUAACAAAUGUAAAAGUUUGCAACGAAAAUAUUAAUAUUAAAAUUUCAUUUAUUUUAGUAAAAGAUUUAAAUCAAUCAGUGAUUUUAAGAAUUUUUUUUAAAAUUUAAUUAAAUUAUUUUAUAUAGAUAAAGAAGGGAUUAUUGUAAAAUUCUUAGAACAAGAUUUGUAUUUCUGAUUCAUUUAAAGUAUUUUCAAAUCCUCACCCACUACACAUCAAAGUUUUACAUGAAAGGAUUUUACAAAAAACUCUUCCUACUCUACCUUAAAUCCUCAACAUCGAACAAACUGUCCUUUCAUGAGAAGAAGAGGGAUAGAAAAACAAAUUUCAUAUGUGAGUUUUUCAAGCCCAUCCAUAAAAUUCAAACCAUUUUAGACAAAACAAUCAUCAAGCAAUAUCUUUUUGAGAAGCAACAACCAUCAUUCAAGCAAAAGAAGUAGUGAUGUGAUUUUCCAUCAAUCAAUUAAAAAAAAAAUUCAUUCAGAUAUCAACAAGUAGCAGUAAACAACUACUGUUAAGAGACAAUGAUUUGAUUUUUCAUCAAUCAUUCAAAAGCAAAAAAUUAAAUUCUAUCAAAAUUUUUUUAGCUUUGGAAGAAAGACUCUGAAAUCACCUAUAAAUAUAGGUAUGAAAUUUUUAUCAUCCUUCAUUUUUUCUCUAUUUUUCUCAAGCAAAUGCCGUCCCGGAAGAAUCAUCGGUAUCAUCGUUACCAAUGGCUUCCUCCUCCAUGAUGCCACCAUCAUCAUUUCAACGCCAUCGUCGAAGCCACCAUCAUCAUUCUUCAGCAUCAAUCCAGAUUAAGUUCAAAAUGACAAGUCUAUAGAAAAUUUAUUAUAUGACAGUUCAUAUUUUAUCUUCAUCAAACAAUAUUUUGACAGAGCAACUUCCAGAGCAUCCUCCAAAAGUAGAACAUCCUCGCCAAAGAAAUCCACUUGAAAACACUGCUAUUCGCUCACACUCCACCAUCUGUUUAUCAACCAAAUUCAUGUGGAUAUCAACAUUCAGUAACUUCAUCACCAACUUCUUCAGUUUCUCUUGAAUUUCAAGCCAUCUAUAGACGCAAAUCAGUAGGAUGCAGAAGAUCGACAUCACCAUAGCAACCAAAUCAAGUCCACAAUCUAGUAUCUAGUACAAGUUCAUCAUACAACGCAAGCUCAAGUCUAAACACCCCAGCACCAAAAGACAGCAUAUCUGGACCGACACCAAUGAUUUACCACCAUCAAGCAACAUCCGCAAAUAAUUAUUCAAAAAAAAAAAAGAAAUCAAGUAUGAAAAUAAACUUAGUUACUUUUCUUAAAAGUCACUUCAUUCUCAAGUAAGUUAUUUCAUUAGCAAGUUACUUCACCAAUAAGCCACUUCAUCAGUAAGUUACUUCAUUAACAAGUUAUUUCACCAACAAGUCACUUCACCAGUAAGUUACUUCAUCAGCAAGCCCCUUCACUGAUAAAGUUAUUUCACCAGCAAGUUACUUUAUUCUCAAGACACUUUACCAAUAAGUUACUUCACCGACAAGAUACUUGAUCCUCAAGCAAAAAGUCUGCCAAAUCUUCUAUAAAAAAAUCUCAAGUACCAGCAUUGAGGAAUAAGUCCUGACAGCCUGAGAGUUUCUAUUAGGAAGUUCUGGCAUUGAGUAGUCCGAAUAUCCUUUAUUCGGCUGCAGUUACAAACCAAUGAGGGAGUGUUCUACCAAUAUCCUCUUCUGUCUUGUAUUUUUGUAUUCAAAAUAGAUUAGGAUUCAAAGCUUUAUUUCAAGUUUGAAGUUUGUAUCCAAUAGGCCAUAGUCGGAGAGAAGCAAGCUUCUUGAAGCUAUCUUCAUUCUGUAUAUCCAUUUUAUUUUUGCUUAUUUCAUAUCGUGUAAGCUUUCAUCAUGUACACUCUCAUGAUUCAAAUGAUCUUUAAAUAAAAUUUUAAUUCGAGUUAUUCUGUUUUAAUAUUGUUUCAAAUAUUUUAAUAUUACUUAAAUGAUAUUUAUUUUUCAAAAUAAUAUUUAGAUUCGUUCUCGUUCAUCUCUGAGAAUGUAUUCUGUAAAAAUUAUUGUUCAUUACUGUUCCUACGGAAUUAUUAUUUCACAAAAAUACUGUUUGUGUUUUCUUUCAAAUAGUUGAUAUUUUGCUUCUAUAUUUUUUUUUCAAAAGUCAUCAUCCUCUUGAUCACUUACUAUUUCAAAAUAUUAUUUCAAAAUACUAUGCAAGUACUAUUGUAAAAGGUAAAAAUAAUAAAAAAUUAUUUAAUUCGUAGGUAAUAUAGUUAAAUAGAUAGGUAAUAUUUAACAUAUGUUAAGUAAUGUAACCCUUAGCAUAAGAAAUGGUCUAAAAAUAUUAAAAAAUAAAUAAAAAAUUAAAAAUUAAAAAUCAAAAAGAAUAGAUAACUUAUAGGUAACUUAACCUGUAAGUAACCUUAGUUUAAGCUUUAGGUAAUCUAUAGCGUGAUCUUUAGGCAACCUUUAGGUAACUUAAUAUGUAGGGAACACCCUUAGGGAACCUGUAGUGUAACUUUUAGAUAAUUCUUAGGUAACCUAUAGUAUGAUCUUUAGGAUAACCUGUAGUUAACCUUUAACAUAGGUUAACUCAUAUAGAUAACCUUUAGGAUAGCCAUGUCCACCAGUAGUGUCCACCCUACCCAUUAGUAGUGUCCACUCUUAGGAUAAUCACGGUCUAGUCUCCAUUCUGUCUAUUAGUAAUGUUCAUUCUUAGGAUGAUCACGGUUUAAUGUCCAUCCUUAGACUAGAUAACAUUUAAGAUAGUUAAUUCUUGAUCCAGAAGAUUUUCUUAGUUUAGUUAUACAACUCUUAGGAUGAUCACAGCUUUGUGUCCACUCUGUCCAUCUGUAGUAUUCACCUUUAAUAGGUGACCUUUAGAGUAACCAUUUAAGAUAGUUAUACAACCUUUAAGAUGAUCACAGUCUAGGACACUAAUAGCAGUCUAGGACACCCAUAGUUUAGGAUAAGUAUAGUUAAGGUAGACAACCACCUUAGUAUAACUAGGUACCCUUUGGUCUAAGAUAAACAAUCCUUUAGGUAAACAAUCUCUAGAACAGAUAACCCAUAGUCAUAACUAGAUUUAGAAUCAAUCCUUCUAGGAUGACCAUAAUCUUAGAUGACCAUAAUCUUAGAUGAACAUAAGUUCUCUUAAACAAUUUUAGAUUAGGUAGACAGUCUUAGAUAACUUUAGGUUAGGUAGAUAGCCUUUAGUCUAAGAUAGGCAUAGAUAUAAGAUUAGAUCUAAAAUAGAUGAAUGAUUAGAUAGAUGAUUGGUUCAACAGAACUAUAUUCUAUAUCUCGUACUUUAGGAGAUUUAUGGCUAUAAAGGUCUCGUACUUGAGCAUUGGUCUUGAAAGAUCUAGAUUUUAGUUCAUGAUUAAUCUAUAAUCUGUUAGCAGUAUCUUGACACAUCUCACUCUCUGUUAUUUUAAAGUGAGCAAGAUCAUGUUCAUAAGUUUCAAAAUAUAUACUCUAGGAUAGGAUUACUAUGAUUCCUCCUUUAACUAGGAGGGAGGAGUAGUAUAGGAUAGAUUGUGGUUUAGAUACUUAGUCUUGGUCUGAGCAACAGAGUUUUGGUAAAAAUCUUUAGCUUGGUGUGAGGAGCAUAGUGGUUGCAUAACAGGUAGAACCUAAGCUUGAUCUGAGGAGUACAGGGAUUGUAUAACUGGUGAUGGCCAUAUGGUUGGGCAUACCUUCGGGUGUUGGGUUGCUUCAAGGAUAUGUCGAGCCGACGAAAGGUUAGGGAGAGCCGUUAACAGGUAGAAGAUUAUCAGUCUGUAGAGAAUUCUUCCUAUAUAAGGUUACUAUUUCAGAUCCUCCUGUGUUAAGUCUCUUAAGAUAGGUACUAUCUUGGAUCAUGCUAUGUUAAUUUUCUUAAGAAAAUGAUCUCUUAUCAAAAUCUUCUUCUGUUAAGUCUCUUAAGAUGAGUGUCUUUUCUUGAUCUUCCUUUAUUAAGUCUUUCAUAAUUGGAAUUGAUGUCAAGAGCUAAGACAAGAUUCUAGCGGAGUAUCCUAAAAAAAUGUUGGAAAUAGAUAAUCUAAAUCAAAAUAGAUAUUUAAGAACCUUUUCAGUGAUUAAGCACCAUCCUUAUAGUGUAGAAAUCCCUAGUUGCAAAUUAGUUAGGAAUUCCAUCCUUGUAGUAUAUUCCUAGAUAGAUAGAAAUUUUUCUUGUAAAUUAGUUAGGAAUCCCUAGCCACAAGCCUUUAGGUAUCUUUUCUAAGAACUAACCCCUCUAUAUUUAGGAUCUUUCAGACACUUUCCUCAUGGUCAGUCUCCUUAUUCUGUAGAAAUAAUGGAUUAUGAUAGCCUAGAUGAGUAUAACCCAUUAGAUUCUGGAUAAAUAGAAUAUGAUUAUUAAAUUGAUCAUUCAGAUGACAGUUAUUUGAGUCAAGAUGAUCCUUAAGAUGAUAUCCAAUCCCUUCACUUUGAAUCUGAUGAAAGUCAAGAUUAUCCUCAAUAUAGAUUAAUCCUAAACUUUGAAUUUAGACUGAGAUCUAGAAUUAGCUGUAAGAUAAUCUCUAAAAUUAAAACAAACAUGUCAAACCCAAUGUCAAACCUUCAAAAUAAAUCCUUACCUUAUAUAUAUAAAAACAACUCUGAAUUCAUAAUAAAUAAAAAAUUAUUUUGGAAAGACCUCUAUGCUGAUUAUAAUAGACUUAAAAGAUAACAGUUUCUCAAUUUUUAUAAUAAAACCUAAAGAGAAGAAAUCCAAUCUUGUUAUCAUGCUUUCAUAAAGUCAAUCAAAGCUCAUAUCAGAUUUUUUUGAUUGGUUCGAAAAGUAUGAUCAGCCAGAAGAAAUUAAUAUAGAAGAAGAAGGAAAUAAUAAUAAAUAUAUUUAUUUAGGUAUAAAAAUAUUAGGCAGGGUUAUUAAAUAUCUCUGUCCAUACUUGCAAGAAGAUAAAGAAAACUUAAUAAGUCAAGACUCUGGGAUAAUACAACACCAACCAAUUAGGGAAGAAGAGUUGUCUAAAACCCCAACUUAUUUAAAAGAUCUGCCGGAACCAGAAGAUAGCCCUCAAGGUUUUGAAGAUAAUAAAACCCAAUAAUUCUUAAAAAACUCAAAAAAUAAAACUCAGGAGAAAGAUCAUCUAAAAGAAAUCAGUUCUGAAACAGAAAUUUAGAAUAAGGUUCUUGAACCUGUUUCUGGCAUUCUCAAAUUAAAAUCUUUUAAUCAAAAUAUAGAUCUGUACCUAGUUAAAAUUUAUAAUAUAAAUUUACGAAAAUUUUGGCCAAACUUAUCAUGAAAAUUACCAAGAAACUUAAAAAUCCUAUUAAAAUCUUUUUUGAGCCCUAGAAAUCCUAAGCCAACAUUAUCAGGACACAAAUCUUUAAAACUCCUUCAAUCUAAAGAAAGUAAUAAAAAAACUCUUGAAUAUCAUUCUGAUCAAAAGACCUUAUUAAAAGAAGAAGUCUGGUAUCAAAAUCCAAUCCUUAACUAAAUCUUUGUGGAAACCUUCUUGGAAAUCUAAAAGGAAGAACUUAGGAGUAAGACAUAAAAACCUUUGGCCUAUUCCAAACCCUUUUAAUAUACUCAAGGAAUUUGAAAUUUUCCAAAAGAAACCAAUGAUCCUGCAAGAAAUAACUCAAAAGAUAGAUAAAGGAAAAGAAAUCCUCUUAGUAGAUGAAACUCUAAAAUUCUCUAGAGAAAUAAAAGUUACUCUACUAAUAGAUAAUUUCAGAAUAAAUAUUUUAGCUCUGAUAGAUUCUAAAAUAGACUCAAAUUUUAUUCGUAAAAGUAUAAUUCCUACAAAAUAUUUUAAAAAUCUAGCAUCCACAAGUAGCCCAGAUCCUGCAUAUAAAUUGACAAAUGUAUUAAUGUAUAAUAAUAAUAUAUGUCUUAAGAUCUCCUUCAUCCUAAGUGAAUAUCUCGAUCAAUCAGUAAUUUUAGGAAAUUCAUUUCUCAACCUCAUAAAAUCAUUUUAUGUUGAUGAGAAAGGAAUCAAAAUCAAACUUUUAGGAUAAAACUUAGAUUUUAGAUUUGCUAAUCCUCUCUCCAAAAAUAGGCAAAUAACUCAACUUUUAGUCAAACAACAAAAAAUUGAACUUUGGACUAAAAUACUAGAAAUACUAUCCUUUGAAUUCCAAGAUAUUAUUCUUGAAAAAAUUUACCAACCUAAUGAAAUUAAAGAAUUACUUAAGAGCCUUUAUAAGUAUCUCAUAAUAGAUUGAUGUUGGUCAAAAUUUAGUACUCCAAAUAUUAAUAUAAAUCUUUUUGAUACUAUAAUUAAAGUCCUAAAUAAAGGACUAGUUAAAUUAGCCUCUGUAGAUUAUAACUAUCCUUUGGAUAUAUUUUCAAAAAUAGUUUCCAUAACUUUAGAAAAAUUUAAGAAUAAUAGAGAAAAAAUAGAUAUGAUAAUUUAUAGUGGAAUAAAAAAAAGUAGAAUAGCUGAAAAUAGGUAUCCCUUACAAAUUCACCAUCUCACCCAAUUCUCUGAAAGAGACUGGGAUCAUUUUACGAUCAAUUCUAUAAAAAGAUAAUCCACUCAAAUUUAUGGAAGAAUGUGAUACUAGAGAAUGUGAAAUUACUAAUUAUUUAGAUGUCUUUUGUGAAGCUAGAAUGUUAGAAAAAUAAAAAUAUUAGAUUAAUGGUAGGAUAUGGGUAAGGAUGGACUUAAUUAUGCCAAACCAACCUAUGGUAAAAAGUGAAGAAAAAUAGAAAAAAUUUUUAGAUUCAAAAAGUUAUCCAUAUAAAGUACAGGAAAGAAUUAGAAAUCCCUUUAGGUUAUCAAGGUAUUAAUUAAAAUUUUUUCAAAAUCAUGUUUUCGAAACAAAUUUGUCAUUUUCAAAAUCUUGCUUCUUCAAAACAAGAUUUUACAAAACAUCACUUAGAGGUUUGGUUCUAACUCUUUUUUUUCCAUGUAAAUUUAUGUAGGAAAGCUUAUGUCUCGUGAGAAAAUUUUAGUUCCAAAAUUUUUUUACUAAUCACUUUCUUUGCUUUCUAUGGCACUUAGAAAAUAAAUAAACUCCUCUUUUUACAAAUACUUGAAAAACUUAGAUAAAAUGAGUUUCACAUCAGAACCUUGUUACAAGACAAUUAUCCAAGAGAAAAAAGAGACAAAAAUUCAAAAAGAAAAAGAAAGAGAGUUCCCUCUUUCUUUACUAUCACUACCUCCAAAUUAGUCUGAAAUACCUUCGUCAUUAGAAAGUUUUCAAUUAGAAGCUGCAAAAAUUACUCGGCAUGAAGUUGCAGAAACCUCUCAAAAGGAAGCUACAGAAAUUUUAGAAACUUCUCAAAGCUUGCAGCAGGUUUCUUUCAAACUUAAAACGGCAAUUGAGAUUUCUGAUUCAAAGCCAAUCCAAACUUCUCAGCCUCUUCAAACAUCCACUUGCCCAUAUUUUGAUAAAAAAUUUCUUCAAUUCAUAAUAAUGAUUGAAGAUGAAUAUUUUGAAAAAGAAUUAAAGAUGGUGGCAGAAAAAAUCUUUUUCUUAAACUAGCAUUUCCUAUCAAGUAAUGUUCAAAAAAUUCAAAAAUUUUAUGAAAGUAUUUUGAUAGAUAUAAAAUCUAUAGUUGUUAAGCAUUAUAAAUACUUUCAUCCACUGCACAUCAAAGUUUUAUAUGAAAGACUUUCUACUCCUACCUUAAAUUUUCAAUAUCGAGCAAACCAUUCUUCCAUGAAAAGAAGAGGAAGAGAAAAUCAAAUUCCAUAUGAGAGUUUUUCAAACCCAUCCAUAAAAUUUAAAUCACUUUAGCCAAGACAAUCAUCAGAUAACAUUUUUUUGAAAAGCAAUAACCACCAUUCAAACAAAGGAAGCAAUGAUGUGAUUUUCCAUUGAUCAAUCAAAAGAAAAGAUUCUAUUCAGAUAUUAACAAGCCACAGUAAACAACUGCGAUUUAAUUUUUCAUCAGUCAUUCAAAGCAAAAAAAUAAACUCUAUCAAAAAAUUUUUAGCUUCUGAAGAAAGACUCUGAGACCACCUAUAAAUACAGGUAUGAAAUUUUUAUCACUCUUCACUUUCCUUCUAUCUUCCUUAAAGCAAAUGCCAUCUCAAAAGAAUCAUCGGUAUCUUCCUCAUCACUGACAGUUUCCAUCUCAACGAUGACACCAUUAUCAUUCCCAACGUCAUCAUCAAAACCAUCAUCACUCUUCAGUAUCAAUCCAGAUUAAGUUCAAAAUAACAAAUCCAUAGAAAAAUUAUUAUAUGACAAUCCAUAUUUCAUCGUCAUCAAGCAACACUUUGAGAAAGCAACUUUCAGAACAUCCUUCAAAAGAAGAAUAUCCUCGUCAAAGAAAUCCAUCUGAAAAUACUCCGCCAUCUGCUCACACUUCACCAUUUGUUCAUCAACCAAAUUCACUUGGAGAUCAACAUUCAGCAACUUCAUCACCAACUCCUUCAGUUUCUCUUGAAUUUGAAGCCAUCUAUAGACGUAGAUCAGUAGGAUGUUGAAGAUCGAUGCCACCACAGCAAUCAAAUCAAGUCUAUAGUCCAGUAUCUAGUACAAGUUCAUCAUCCAACACAAGCUCAACUUCAAAGACCCCAGUAUUCAAAAGAUAGCAUAUCUGAAUCGAUACCAGCUAUUCACCACCAUCUAGCGACAUCUAAAAAUAAUUAUUCAAAAAAGAAAAAGAAAUUAAGCAUGAAGAUAAACUUAGUUACUUUUUUUGAAAGUUAUUUCAUUUCCAAGUAAGUUACUUCAUCAGCAAGUUUCUUCACCAAUAAGUCACUUCACCAGUAAGUUACUUCAUCAGCAAGUCAUUUCACCAGCAAGUUAUUUCACCAGCAAGUUACUUCACCAGCAAGUCACUUCAUCAGCAAGCCACUUCACCGAUAAAGUUACUUUACCAGUAAGUUACUUCAUUCCCAAAACACUUCACUAGUAAGUUAUUUCACCAACAAGAUAUUUGAUCCCUAAGCAAGAAGUCCGCUAAAUCUUCUAUAAGAAGAUCCCAAGUGCUAGCAUGAAGGAACAAGUUCUGGCAGUUUGAGAGUUCCCUUUAGGAAGUUCUGGCAUUGAGUAGUCAUGAAUAUCUUUUACUAGGUAGAAGCUACAAGCCUGUGAGGGAGUGUUCCAUCAAUAUUCUCUUCUGUCUUGUAUUUUUGUAUCCAAAAAUAGAUUAGGAUCUAAAGCUUUGUUUCAAAUUUGUAUCCAGUAGGCCAU
rnacentral:lncRNA from 1 species